CAAGGGAAAUAAUGGAGACUUGAAGAGAUAAACUGACUUUUCUGCCAUCACGUGUUUUGGUUUGAAGAUGGUUUGGCUCCACCAAGACUCGCAUGGUGGCUUAGUUCCCCAAGGUGGCCAUUGUUGGCUGGAAGGACCUCCUGGCAGGUGUCUGGUUGUGGAGAUGGAGCUGCAGGAAUGGACUGACAGCAACUCCCAGGAGUGUGGCUUGCUCUAUCAGGGUGGAUCACUGCCCCCGGAGCUGGCUGUGGAAAGCUCUGUUCCUUCUGUCGCUUUCUGUCUCUACAUGCUCCCUUCUCCCUUGUUCUUCUUUCCGUGACCUGAAGAUGUGUGAAGUGUUCACCAGUAGGCCGAGUAGAGUUGUAACCUCCUUAACUGCAAGUGAAAAGUUUGUGUUGCUCAAGCCACAGUGCUUAUGGCAAAAUAUAACAGUAGUCAUCGGAAAAUUCUGCACCAUCUGAUCUACAAGAAUUCAUCACACACCAGCUUGCCCUUUAUCCAUUUCCUGCCAUCUGUGGCAUUAAAAAUCCUAUACCCCUGGAAAAUCCUCAGUUCAGAAUGAAUCAGAACAACUGAUAACAUUAGGAUUCCACUCUGAUGAUGUGGAGUGUCAUGAUCAGCCAUAAAUGAACAAGGUAGAAUGGUUUCCCAGAGGAACCACCAGAA